rnacentral:tRNA from 1 species
GUCUCAAUAGCUCAGUUGGGAGAGCGUCAGACUGAAGAUCUGAAGGUCCAGUGCUCAAGCCACUGUUGGGACA